GCUACUGUAGCUCAACUGGUAGAGCAGCUGAUUUGUAAUCAGCAGGUUGGGGGUUCAAGUCCUCUCGGUAGCUCCA
rnacentral:tRNA from 1 species